AAUAGAUACCCUGGUAGUCCACGCCGUAAACGAUGUCGACUUGGAGGUUGUUCCCUUGAGGAGUGGCUUCCGGAGCUAACGCGUUAAGUCGACCGCCUGGGGAGUACGGCCGCAAGGUUAAAACUCAAAUGAAUUGACGGGGGCCCGCACAAGCGGUGGAGCAUGUGGUUUAAUUCGAUGCAACGCGAAGAACCUUACCUACUCUUGACAUCCACGGAACUUUUCAGAGAUGAAUUGGUGCCUUCGAGAACCGUGAGACAGGUGCUGCAUGGCUGUCGUCAGCUCGUGUUGUGAAAUGUUGGGUUAAGUCCCGCAACGAGCGCAACCCUUAUCCUUUGUUGCCAGCGGUUAGGCCGGGAACUCAAAGGAGACUGCCAGUGAUAAACUGGAGGAAGGUGGGGAUGACGUCAAGUCAUCAUGGCCCUUACGAGUAGGGCUACACACGUGCUACAAUGGCGCAUACAAAGAGAAGCGACCUCGCGAGAGCAAGCGGACCUCAUAAAGUGCGUCGUAGUCCGGAUUGGAGU
rnacentral:rRNA from 1 species